rnacentral:rRNA from 1 species
GAGUUUGAUCGUGGCUCAGGACGAACGCUGGCGGCGUGCUUAACACAUGCAAGUCGAACGAGAAUCUACUGAAAGAGUUUUCGGACAAUGGAUGUAGAGGAAAGUGGCGGACGGGUGAGUAACGCGUGAGGAACCUGCCUUGAAGAGGGGGACAACAGUUGGAAACGACUGCUAAUACCGCAUGACGCAUAGAGGUCGCAUGAUCUUUAUGCCAAAGAUUUAUCGCUUCAAGAUGGCCUCGCGUCUGAUUAGCUAGUUGGCGGGUAACGGCCCACCAAGGCGACGAUCAGUAGCCGGACUGAGAGGUUGAACGGCCACAUUGGGACUGAGAUACGGCCCAGACUCCUACGGGAGGCAGCAGUGGGGAAUAUUGGGCAAUGGGCGCAAGCCUGACCCAGCAACGCCGCGUGAAGGAAGAAGGC